GCCGGGCGCGGUGGCUCACGCCUGUAAUCCUAGCUCUCUGGGAGGCCGAGGCGGGCGGAUUGCUCAAGGUCAGGAGUUCAAAACCAGCCUGAGCAAGAGUGAGACCCUGUCUCUACUAUAAAUAGAAAGAAAUUAAUUGGCCAACUGAUAUGUAUAUAAAAAAUUAGCCGGGCAUGGUGGCGCAUGCCUGUAGUCCCAGCUACUCGGGAGGCUGAGGCAGAAGGAUCUCCCACUCACUCUAGCCUGGACAACAAAGUGAGACUCUGUCUCA
rnacentral:sRNA from 1 species